rnacentral:rRNA from 1 species
GAGUUUGAUCAUGGCUCAGAUUGAACGCUGGCGGUAUGCUUAACACAUGCAAGUCGAACGGUAACAGGAGAGAGCUUGCUCUUUUGCUGACGAGUGGCGGACGGGUGAGUAAUGCGUAGGAAUCUGCCUAGUAGUGGGGGACGAACGUGUGGAAACGCACGCUAAUAACCGCAUACGCCCUACCGGGGAAAGGACGGGGAGUCUU